GAGUGUUUAUAGUGCUGUGAGUUUAACACUUCAUGACGGACACUGUUCAUCAGGCACAAAAACUAAAAUGACAUUCAUCAUCUUCUUUUUGAUCUUGGGAAUGUAUUUUCAGUGUUCUGCAGGACAGGUGACUGUAAUUCAGACUCCAACAGAGAAACAUGUUCAGAACAAAGAUACAGUCACUCUGACCUGUAAAACCAGCAGCUCCAUUGGAACCCCUUCAAACGGUUGGUGUAAGUCUUGUCUCUCCUGGUACUUACAGAAACCUGGAGAAGCUCCUAAACUUUUAGUUUACAGCAUCAAAACCCUUCAUACUGGAACUCCAUCAAGAUUCAGUGGAAAUGGAGCCGAUCAUGGAACUGAUUUCUCUCUGACCAUCAGUGGAGUCCAGACUGAAGAUACAGGAGAUUAUUACUGUCAGAGUGGACACUGGAUCAACAGUAAAGUUGUGUUCACACAGUGAUAAAGAGUCGUACAAAAACCUCCGUCAGUCAGAGUCACAGUGACCGCACUGAUACAGCUGAGAGAUACUGCA